rnacentral:rRNA from 1 species
CCUACGGGAGGCAGCAGUGGGGAAUAUUGCACAAUGGGCGAAACCCUGAUGCAGCAACGCCGCGUGAGCGAAGAAGUACUUCGGUACGUAAAGCUCUAUCAGCAGGGAAGAAAAUGACGGUACCUGAGUAGGAAGCCCCGGCUAACUACGUGCCAGCAGCCGCGGUAAUACGUAGGGGGCUAGCGUUAUCCGGAUUUACUGGGCGGAAAGGGUGCGUAGGUGGGUUCGUAAGUCAGAAGUGAAAAGCCGAGGCUUAACCCGGAGACAGCUUUUGAAACUGGGCAGCUUGAGUGCAGGAGAGGAGAGUGGAAUUCCUAGUGUAGCGGUGAAAUGCGUAGAUAUUAGGAGGAACACCAGUGGCGAAGGCGGCUUUCUGGACUGUAACUGACGUUGAGGCACGAAAGCGUGGGGAGCAAACAGGAUUAGAUACCCUUGUAGUC